rnacentral:tRNA from 1 species
GCCUGGGUGGCUCAGUCGGUUGAGCACCCGACUCUUGGGUUUUGGUUAAGAUUGUGUUCUCAGGGUUGUGGGAUCAAAUCCCAUGCCGGGCU